CAGAAAUUAAGAUUUUCGGGUAUAACCGGACUUUCCAAGUUAGAUUGCCAUCUGGUGAACAUUUCAUUUAAACUUUAUCCCUUGCACUUCAUUAAUCCUACAACAAAUUAAAGCGUUUGUCAUAAACGGUUUAAAACAUAAUCAAUCAUAGUGUGCGGGAAAACUUUUGCUUUGGCCAUAAUUUUUCAUAAUUUUCCCAUCACAAACUCGAACCGUUUUUCCCCCAGCUCAAAUCUAAUCGGAUUUUCGCCAUUGUUGUUGUCGGGUGCUGGUGAUUUUAUAUAACGUAUUAUAUUUUAUGAUUAUCUGCAUGAAAAUGGAAUAACAACACCGAAAAAUGUGAGCCAUCUCUCACAACGGCGGAGCAAAAAAGUGUGUACGCUUAGACGUUGAGCAACAAUUUCAUUUGCAUAUUUUUCAUUUGCUCCUGGCUCCGUCGAGGGUGCGAAUAUAUACGUUUGUGGACGACGAAUAGACAUGUAAGCCAGUCACCAACGAAUGCCAGAGCUGGGCAAUGAAAACGGGAAAAUAUCAAAUUU
rnacentral:sRNA from 1 species